AUACUUCCCCGGCAGGGGAGACACCAUGUUCACGAAGGUGGUUUUUCCCAGGGCGAGGCUUAUCCAUUGCACUCCGGAUACGCUGACCCCUGCGAUUUCCCCAGAUGCGGGGAAACUCCACUGCAUAAUUUGUGGUAGUGGGGGACUGCGUUCACGCUCUCUCCUA